rnacentral:lncRNA from 1 species
CAUGUCUUGCAUUAUGAGCACAAUCUCUGCUGUUAUCUGAGAAAUUAUUUCUGAUUUCAUUUUUUCCACAUCCUGUUUUGUUGUCAGUUCAGGGAGUACAGUUGGUUGAGUAUCAGUGUUCCAUCUCAUUUUCCUUUGGGGUUGCUGUAGGUGAUCUGGAAGUCUGGUUUUGAGACUUGUUUAUGUGUCUUUUCAUUUCGAAGUGGGGGGGAUGUGUGCUGCUGGUGCCCGUGCAGCUUACCUCCAUACUUUAAAGCUCUUAACUGGGACCUCUUGUAGCAAAAGACAGAGCAUACAAGAGGAUAGCAAAAGAGUACAAACAGAAGCUUAUUAGCAUGGAAGUAGUUCACUUUGAUUUAGUGGGAAUAUGUUCCAAGACCCCAGCAGAUGCCUGAAACCAUGGGUAGUACUAAACCCUGUAAAUACUGUUUUUCCUAAAUAUACAUUCUUAUGACAAAGUUUAAUAUAUGAAUUAGCUUCAGUAAGAGAUGAAUAGGAAUAACAUCAUAGAUCUUAGCAACCUUACCAUAUGAUUACUAUUUUUUCUUUCCUUAUUAAAUCAAGAAGUUUCACCUUUUCACUUAAGGAAGCACUUUAUAUCCUUUCUUUCACAUAUAUGCAUCAUCAGCUUCAUUAUUCUUGUACUUUAGAACCAUUAAGUAAAACAAGCACUGUGAUGUCACAAUACCAGUUUAACUGGUGAUGGAGACUAAGUAAGGAGUGGGUACCAUAUACAACAUGGAUUUGCUGAACAUUUGAUGAAUGAUUCACAUUUCAAGCAGGAGCUGGAUGGUACAAGAUUUCAUACUGCUACUCAGAGUAGCUUACAAUUUAAAAGUUAUGAAUUUUUUUUCUCAAAUGUUCUAUUUUAUAUUUUCAUACCACAGUUGACCACAGGGCGGAAUAUUGAUCCCCAGGCCUCCUGCAUGUCAGGCAAAUGCUUCACAACUGAGCUAUACACCCAGUUGUAA